AUAUCUUGUCAAUAAUACAAGACUUGAUAUAGCUUUUGCUAUAAACUUGUUAGUAAGAUUUAGUUCUUCUCCAACACGUAGACAUUGGAAUGAAAUUAAACAUGUAUUUAGAUAUCUUAGAGGGACCAUUGAUAUGAGGUUAUUUUAUUCAAAUGAUUCAAAAUCCGUAUUAGUUAGUUAUGCUGGAUAUUUAUCGAAUCCAUAUAAAGGUCGAUCUCAAACGGGAUAUUUAUUUACAUGUGGAGGUACUGCCAUAUCAUGGCAUUCGACAAAGCAAACAUUAGUUGCUGCCUCUUCAAAUCAUGCUGAAGUAAUUGCAAUACAUGAGGCAAGCCAAGAAUGUGUUUGGCUAAGGUUAUUAACCCAACAUAUCCAGAAGAUAUGUAAUUCGCCUUUACAGGAAAAUAUGCCUGUAGACCCAAUUUUUAGCUCGGGCCCAUACAUAUACAAAAAAUAAAACAAAAAACAGCAAUCCUAAUUUUUUAACCAGCCCAAUUGCAUAAAAUAACCCAAAUAAUUUUGGCCCGUUUACAUAAGCCCAAUACUCAUGCUCUAACCUAAACAAUCAGAAAACUGAAAUCCUAAAUCCCUAAAAGCUUCAGUAGCACCAUAGCCUUCAGCCACGAUCACUCCCGUCACGUACGCACGCCCUGCUCCACGUUCGUAUCCACAUCUUCAUGACCUGCAAGUUGAGCAAAAAUAGCCAAAAACCGCUUCUAUUUUGGUUAUAAAAGCCUUCGUUUUUAAGUGUUUGUGGGGUUUUUUUUUUUGGAAAAAUAGAAGAUAGAAACGAUAUCAACACACACAGAGAGAUAGCAACCAUAUUUGUUGAAGGUGAUUAAAAGCCUCAUUUUUCUUUCGAUUUUAUUUUCCUUUUCUUUGAUUUUUUUAUCUAUUGUACGUAAAUAAUAAGAGAAAGGAGGAAAAGCUUACCGGAGUCACUGUCGGAGGGCCUUCCCUGGGCGCGAACGGAGGGCCGGGGUGCUAGUAUUUCGGCGAGGAAGCAAGGAGAGAGUGAGAGAUUGGAGAGUAUGAGGGUUAUUUUUUUAAACAAAAAUCAAAUGGUUUUCAAAAUAGUUUUUUAAAUUUGAGUAAUAAGUUUUAAGCAGUAGCAUUGGGAAGGGAAAAAGUCAGUAGAUG
rnacentral:lncRNA from 1 species